rnacentral:rRNA from 1 species
UACAGAGGGUGCGAGCGUUAAUCGGAAUUACUGGGCGUAAAGCGUGCGUAGACGGUUAUUUAAGUCGGGUGUGAAAGCCCCGGGCUCAACCUGGGAAUUGCAUUCGAGACUGAAUAGCUAGAGUACGGUAGAGGGGGAUGGAAUUCCGCGUGUAGCAGUGAAAUGUGUAGAUAUGCGGAGGAACACCGAUGGCGAAGGCAAUCCCCUGGACCUGUACUGACGCUCAUGCACGAAAGCGUGGGGAGCAAACAGG